rnacentral:rRNA from 1 species
AGCAGCCGCGGUAAUUCCAGCUCCAAUAGCGUAUAUUAAAGUUGUUGCAGUUAAAAAGCUUGUAGUUGAAUUUCGGGGUUCUACCGUUGGUCGGGCUUUGUCUGUACUGGCGUGUAGAAUUUCUACCUUCUGGGGAACUAUCAUGAUAUUAAUUUAGCGUGGUAGGAAACCAGGACCUUUACCUUGAAAAAUUAGAGUGUUCAAAGCAGGCUUAUGUCUGAAUACAUUAGCAUGGAAUAAUAAAAUAGGACGGUGGUCCUGUUUUGUUGGUUUCUGAAUCACCGUAAUGAUUAAUGGGGAUAGUUGGGGGCAUUAGUAUUCAAUUGUCAGAGGUGAAAUUCUUGGAUUUAUUGAAGACUAACUACUGCGAAAGCAUUUGCCAAGGAUGUUUUCAUUAAUCAAGAACGAAAGUUAGGGGAUCGAAGACGAUCAGAUACCGUCGUAGUCUUAACCAUAAACUAUGCCGACUAGGGAUCGGACGAUGUUAACUUUUCUUGACUCGUUCGCGCCUUACGGGAAC